CCUACGGGGGGCAGCAGUGAGGAAUAUUGGUCAAUGGGCGCGAGCCUGAACCAGCCAAGUAGCGUGAAGGAUGACUGCCCUCCGGGUUGUAAACUUCUUUUAUAAAGGAAUAAAGUGAGGCACGUGUGCCUUUUUGUAUGUGCUUUAUGAAUAAGGAUCGGCUAACUUCGUGCCAGCAGCCGCGGUAAUACGGAGGAUUCGAGCGUUAUCCGGAUUUAUUGGGUUUAAAGGGAGCGUAGAUGGGUUGUUAAGUCAGUUGUGAAAGUUUGCGGCUCAACCGUAAAAUUGCAGUUGAUACUGGCAGCCUUGAGUACAGUUGAGGUAGGCGGAAUUCGUGGUGUAGCGGUGAAAUGCUUAGAUAUCACGAAGAACUCCGAUUGCGAAGGCAGCUUACUAAACUGCCACUGACAUUGAGGCUCGAAAGUGUGGGUAUCAAACAGGAUUAGAUACCCUAGUAGUC
rnacentral:rRNA from 1 species